ensembl:lncRNA
AUGAUAUUAAAUCACUCAAGACAUGAAAUACAAACAUCACAAGUGACAUCACAAGUGACAUCACGGCACAAUAUUUGCCAUGUGUCAUCUGAUGUGGUCUUCACCUCGCAGGCCCGGAGGCUCCGAGGCUCUGGAGGAGAGCCGGGUGUCGGCCGGGGGCCGAGGUCCUGGUGGAAGCAGAGUGAAGUCUGUGCUCUCAGGAAACUUCCUCCUGUGCUUUGUGUGGACGCACACGCUGUCACCUGCAGCUCCGUGUGUCCUCCUGUCUGGGUGUGUCCUACUGUCCGUCACCUCACGUCCUACACAGUCACCUGCAGCUCGGUGUGUCCUCCUGUCCGUCACCUCACGUCCAACACAGUCACCUGCAGCUCCGUGUGUCCUCCUAUCCGUCACCUCCACGUCCAACACAGUCACCUGCAGCUCCGUGUGUACUCCUAUCCGUCACCUCACGUCCAACACAGUCACCUGCAGCUCCGUGUGUCCUCCUGUCCGUCACCUCACGUCCAACACAGUCACCUGCAGCUCUGUGUCCUCCUGUCCAUCACCUCACGUCCUACACAGUCACCUGCAGCUCCGUGUGUCCUCCUGUCUGGGUGUGUCCUCCUGUCUGGGUGUGUCCUACUGUCCGUCACCUCACGCCCUACACAGUCACCUGCAGCUCGGUGUGUCCUCCUGUCCGUCACCUCACGUCCAACACAGUCACCUGCAGCUCGGUGUGUCCUCCUGUCCGUCACCUCGUCCCAACACAGUCACCUGCAGCUCGGGUGUGUCCUCCUGUCCGUCACCUCACGUCCAACACAGUCACCUGCAGCUCCGUGUGUCCUCCUGUCCGUCACCUCACGUCCAACACAGUCACCUGCAGCUCUGUGUCCUCCUGUCCGUCACCUCACGUCCUACACAGUCACCUGCAGCUCGGUGUGUCCUCCUGUCCGUCAUCUCACGUCCAACACAGUCACCUGCAGCUCCGUGUGUCCUCCUGUCCGUCACCUCACGUCCAACACAGUCACCUGCAGCUCCGUGUGUCCUCCUGUCCGUCACCUCACGUCCUACACAGUCACCUGCAGCUCCGUGUGUCCUCCUGUCCGUCACCUCACGUCCUACACAGUCACCUGCAGCUCCGUGUGUCCUCCUGUCCGUCACCUCACGUCCAACACAGUCACCUGCAGCUCCGUGUGUCCUCCUGUCCGUCACCUGCAGGGAGAUGGUCCACCACACCAGUCACAUUGUGAGUUGACUUGUAUUGUUUCACAUUAUGACAUUGUACAAAUGGUUGUUCCCUGUGUUUGAAUUUUGGAAUGUGGACUGAAUGUGUUAAAAAGAAAAUACUUCAAAGUAUGUUGUCAGAUCUGCGUUGGAUUUAUAGUUACGGAGCUGGCUCUUGACACUGGAUUCAGUGUGUUCACAUCAUGUGUGGAACACAUGGGCUCUUCUGACUGCUCCUCUCUCUGCACACUGUAAAUCUACAUGUGUUCAGCUCUCACACAGAUGGAGGAUGACGGAUUAAAGGUAGAAGAAGUGUAUCUGCUUCCAGGAGAUGUGCCCUCCUUUGCUAUCUUAACGAUAAGUGUGAUGAGCAUGUUGUGCUCAGUUGCAUUGUUCGGGAUGUGUUGAGAAGUGUGAAGACCUUCAUCCUCACCAGCACAGACGCUGUAAAAGGAACUUCACACAGCACAACUGUUGGUAAUGUGAUGAAAUACAAACACUGCUCAGCACUUUGACAAGUCCAUUUCAACAGCCUGACGCCAGAAGACAGAAGACGCCCGAGCCGCCGGAACCGAUUGGUCCGUUUAGUUUCAGUGACUCGGACAGGAAGCGCGUGUGGUCAGAGUUACAGUUCACAUCAUCUCUCACGAUGCCUACAGCUCUGUGGAUGUUCUCACCUGCUCUCGUUCCCCCGAGGAAUCGCACGGAGUUUAAAGAAGCGUGUUGUAAUUCUCCCUUGAAUAUGGAUCCACACUCAACAGCUUGACUGUUACUUUGGAGCCACUUGGCUGUUGCUAGGGGACCGUUUGUUUGUGGUAGAUAACAGGACGGGGGUGGGGGUGUCAUAGUGACAAAGUUUUUACAAGGCUUUCUGGUGACCGUGUUAAAGAGCCACAGUUCCAGCUCAACAAUGGUCCAGCUGACGGGGUUAGUCAUGUGCAUUCACACCCGGCACAAGUGCUUCAUUUGACCUCUGGUGCGAUUCUUUCUCUGCCUUCGGUGGUUCGGUGGGAACCGACACGCUGGAUGUUGCCCGUCCUGCGCCAGUAAACAACCUCAGAUCCUAUGUUUUAUGGGUAAUGAGGCGAGGACGCAGUCACUGGAGCAUGUCAGCGUCUGGACUCGUGUUCUUACAGUACGUGGUAUGAACUCCAGGACACUGAUAUAAUCCUCAUGAAAUCAUUAAAGAAUGAAGGUUUCCGUCUCAAGCAUGUCGAAGCUCCUCCAGAACCACAGCAGACAUCAU